AGCCCUUCGGGGUGGAUUAGUGGCGAACGGGUGAGUAACACGUGGGCAAUCUGCCCUUCACUCUGGGACAAGCCCUGGAAACGGGGUCUAAUACCGGAUAAUACCUUCUCUCGCAUGGGAGAGGGUUGAAAGCUCCGGCGGUGAAGGAUGAGCCCGCGGCCUAUCAGCUUGUUGGUGAGGUAGAAGCUCACCAAGGCGACGACGGGUAGCCGGCCUGAGAGGGCGACCGGCCACACUGGGACUGAGACACGGCCCAGACUCCUACGGGAGGCAGCAGUGGGGAAUAUUGCACAAUGGGCGAAAGCCUGAUGCAGCGACGCCGCGUGAGGGAUGACGGCCUUCGGGUUGUAAACCUCUUUCAGCAGGGAAGAAGCGAAAGUGACGGUACCUGCAGAAGAAGCGCCGGCUAACUACGUGCCAGCAGCCGCGGUAAUACGUAGGGCGCAAGCGUUGUCCGGAAUUAUUGGGCGUAAAGAGCUCGUAGGCGGCUUGUCACGUCGGUUGUGAAAGCCCGGGGCUUAACCCCGGGUCUGCAGUCGAUACGGGCAGGCUAGAGUGUGGUAG
rnacentral:rRNA from 1 species